rnacentral:rRNA from 1 species
GAAAGUAAAGAAGGGCGCAUGGCGGAUGCCUUGGCUCUCGGAGGCGAUGAAGGACGUGAUAAGCUGCGAUAAGCUUUGGGGAGGUGCAAAUGACCUUUGAUCCAGAGAUUUCCGAAUGGGACAACCCAAUAUCUUGAAGAGGUAUUAUCCAACGUUGUUGGAGGCUAACGCAGGGAACUGAAACAUCUUAGUACCUGCAGGAAAAGAAAAUAAACAAUGAUUCCCCCAGUAGUGGCGAGCGAACGGGGAACAGCCCAAACCAUCCAUGUUACGGCAUGGGUGGGGUUGUAGGACUACGCCGUUGCAUGAAGACAUCAGAGAAGAACUUUCUGGAAAGAAAGACCAUAGAGCAUGACAGUUGCGUAUUCGAAUGUUGUCGAAGCAUAGUAGUAUCCUGAGUAGCGCGGAGCACGAGGAAUUCUGCGUGAAUCUGCCGGGACCAUCCGGUAAGGCUAAAUACUCCCGAGAGACCGAUAGCGAACCAGUACCGUGAGGGAAAGGUGAAAAGCACUUCGAACAGAAGAGUGAAAUAGUUCCUGAAACCGUGCGCCUACAAGCGGUCGGAGCUCGUUAAUGAGUGACGGCGUGCCUUUUGCAUAAUGAACCUACGAGUUGCCUUUGCCGGCAAGGUUAAGUGUGACGACACACGUAUCCGAAGCGAAAGCGAGUCUGAACAGGGCGUAUAGUCGGCAGUGGCAGACGCGAAACCAAGUGAUCUACCCUUGGCCAGGUUGAAGGCUGGGUAACACCAGCUGGAGGACCGCACCAAUAAGCGUUGAAAAGCUUCUGGAUGAGCUGAGGGUAGGGGUGAAAGGCUAAUCAAACUUGGAGAUAGCUCGUACUCCCCGAAAUGCAUUUAGGUGCAGCCUUGCGGGUUACUGAUGUGAGGUAGAGCGACUGAUAAGAUGCGAGGGCUUCACCGCCUAUCAAGUCUUGACAAACUCCGAAUGCGCAUCAGUUCUACCGCAGGAGUGAGGGCAUGGGUGCUAAGGUCCGUGCCCGAGAGGAGAAGAAUCCGGACCACCUGCUAAGGUCCCGAAAUGACAGCUAAGUUAAACUAACGAAGUCUGACUGCUAAGACAGCUAGGAUGUUGGCUUGGAAGCAGCCAUUCAUUUAAAGAGUGCGUAACAGCUCACUAGUCGAGGAGUCGGGCGUGGAUAAUAAUCGGGUAUCAAGUUGUCUACCGAAGCAGUGGGAUCAUUAAUAUGAUCGGUAGGGGAGCAUUCCAGUCAGCGUCGAAGGCGUACCGUGAGGUAUUCUGGAGCGUCUGGAAAAGCAAAUGUAGGUAUAAGUAACGAUAAAGGGGGCGGGAAACCCCCUCGCCGAAAGACUAAGGUUUCCUGAUCAACGCUAAUCGGAUCAGGGUCAGUCGGGUCCUAAGGCUCAGCCGAACGGCGAUGCCGAUGGCAGAAACGGUUAAUAUUCCGUUACUACCUUCAGGAGUGACGUGGAGACGCAGUAGUGACAGUGCCGCCAUCUGACGGAAUAGAUGGUUGAAGGGUGUAGGAGUCGAUCAUGGCAGGCAAAUCCACCAUGAGAUCCGAACCUGACAGUAUGCCGCGUCCUUCGGGACAAGGCAAUAGUGCGCGUAAGCAUGCUGCCGAGAAAAUCCGCUAAACUUAAUCCUGCAGGUACCCGUACCGCAAACGGACACACGUAGUCGGGAUGAAUAUUCUAAGGCGCUUGAGUGAUUCACGGUUAAGGAACUAGGCAAACUGACCCUGUAACUUCGGGAUAAAGGGUCCCUACCCUUUUAUGGGAGGGCGCAGAGAAUCGGUCCAGGCAACUGUUUAACAAAAACACAGGGCUGUGCCAAAUCGAAAGAUCCAGUAUACAGCCUGACACCUGCCCGGUGCUGGAAGGUUAAGAGGAGAUGUCAUCGAUAAGAGAAGCGUUGAAUUGAAGCCCCAGUAAACGGCGGCCGUAACUAUAACGGUCCUAAGGUAGCGAAAUUCCUUGUCGGGUAAGUUC